CCUCGGCGUUGCUCCCCGUUGGUUCCCAUCGCAGCGAUGGGGAAUUGCAGAGCAGCGAUCGCUGAGGUGCUGCUCCGCCUCUCCCAGGCUCGUUCCACUCUACUUUUUGGUUAUUAAACCCAACAAUUGAAAGGGGAAGAGCAGAGAGAAAUGCUGAUUUAAUGGAUGACUUGGAAUAUUUGGUUCCCCAGUGCGAGUCUGCGUCACUGCCCUUUUAAUGAAAGCUUUAUUAGUAAUUAUUAAAAAGGAAAAGAACAACGAAAGCGGAAGGAAAAGAAAACCACGCAGAGGGUUUGCUGCUGGAGCAUGGUUUCUCUGCUGGGUUUUCUCCCUGGGGCCUCGUUUUGGGGAUGAGGUCGGGUGUUCACCAGCUCCAGAGUUGGGUGUCAACCUCUACUCACUGUCGCUCUGCAAGCAGAUGGGCUUUAAUCACUGCCACCAUCAGCAAAUAUCGCAGGGAAAAGGGCUUUGGGGCUCACUGUCGGAAAAUCCAGCUUUGGCAGAGCCGUGUAGGGAUGGUGGAUCCGGCUUAUUUUAAAGCUUGAACUGUUUAUAUUACCUUUAAACAUAGGCUUCAGUCAACAGCGGGAGUGACUGCAAGGCACGGUGCUGCCCAAGGGUCUGCCGGAACAAAGCGACAGCAGCAACUGCGUGCUGAUGGAAAAACAGCACCGGAACACGAUUGGCCCGAACCGCCAAAGAAUGGAGCUGCUAAUCUGUCCUCCUUGCGUGCACCAGGUUUCUCCCAGAGCGAGCAGUUGCUGGACGUUCCCAGAGCUGCAGCUCGGCUCCUGUCCUCCUGCCUUGUAAUUAACGCUCUCAGGUAAUUGCACUUCCAGCCUCUCCACUAAGCCACCGCCAGGCAACUCUGGCUGGGAAGCUGCAGAAUGAGGAAGUGCAAAGGGUGGCUCUGAUGCACCCUGGGGAGCAGCAACCCUGGGAUGGGGCGUUUGUAGAGCUGCGAACAUUUUGGGGCUGGGACAAGGGGGAAAACAUGGGGGCAUGUCUGCUCCCAGCCCCACGCAUCAGCUCCAACCCCACAUUUCUGCUCCCAGCCCUACGUAUCAUUUCCCAGCCCCACACAUCAGCUCCCAGCCAUACAAAUCUCCCCCCAGCCCUGCGUAUCAGCUUCCAACCCUACACAUCAGGUCAUGGCCGUACACAUCAGCUCCCAACCCUGCACAUCAGCUCCCAACCCUGCACAUCUUCCCCCAGCCCUACCUAUCAGCUCUCAGCCCCACACAUCCUCUCCCAGCCCCUGCUUUCAGGCAGGCAGACACGCGCUCUGUGAUUACAAUCAUUAAAUUGCCAAGGAUCUGCAGAGGGGGAGACAAUUAUGAUGGUGACAAAGAGGUUUCUGUCACCCGGGCUGCGCCCCGCGGCUUUGCUCUUGCUCAGGUUGAAUUUAGUGGUUGGGAACGUUCCUUUCUUCCACGGGUUGUUGGUCUGGUGCUGCCCCACAGCAGAGAUCUGGAGUUGUUUGGGGUGUCCUGAGCAAUCUGCAGCUUCCAGGUGCUCCUGGAGGAGGUGGUUCAUUGGGAUGCGAUCCAGGAGCCGAGAUGUGGGGUUGGUUGGGGUGAUGGGGGUGAGCUUGGAGUGCUGGGUGCUCCUGGUGGAGCUGCACGGCUCGGGGGCGUCCCAGGGACAGGGAACCCCAACAUGCGGCCCCAUCUCCUGCUUUGCCACCAGGUAGAAGUGGAUUUAGGGAUUUCCUGGUUGCUUCUUCUUCCAUUUAGCACACGGAGGCCGAUGAUUCAUCGCCAUCCAAUAACGCGUGGCUGCAAACACUCUCACUGCUGUUUAUUCAAACGGUUGUUUGUUAAUUAGCUACUCUUAACGAGGAGAGAAUAAAUCAGGUAAAACACACCUGAAUGGCACGGGGACGGUUUGCAGAUUGGUUUUGUUUUCCAGCAGAGAUGCAGCCAUGAAGCUUCUGUGGAGAUCCCAGUGCAUAGGCAACAAAACGUAUGGAGACCCUGUGUGUGUAGGGGUGGGUGGUGCAUGGAGAUGUGUGUAACGGGGUGGGAGGCGCAGGGACGCCCUAUGUGUGUGCAGGCUAUGAGUUGUAUAUGGACAUCGAGCUCUAUAGGGGAUGAAAUGUACAUGGAAGCUUCGUAUGGAGCCCAGGGGACGUGCAUGGGCACCCUUUGCAUUGGAUGCAUAGGAUGUGCAUGGAGAUGUGUAGGAUGUGCGUGGGAGCAUGUAGGAUUCAUGUGGAGGUGUAUGGGAUGUGCAUGGAGAUGUGCAGGAUGCCUGUGGAGGUGCUUGGGGUGUAUGGAGAUGUAUGGGAUGCAGAUGGAGAUCUAUAGGAUGGAAGUGGAGGUACAUAGGAUGUGCAUGGAGAUCUAUAGGAUGGAUGUAGAGGUACAUAGGAUGCAGGUGGAGAUGUAUAGGAUGGACAUGGAGGCACAUAGGAUGUGCAUGGAGAUCUAUAGGAUGGACGUGGAGGUAUAUAGGAUGCAGGUGGAGAUCUAUAGGAUGGAUGUGGAGGUCCAUAGGAUGCAGGUGGACAUCUAUAGGAUGGACACGGAGGCACAUAGGAUGUGCAUGGGGAUCUGUGGGAUGCACAUAGAGAUCUAUAGGACGCACACAGAGCUGUAUGGGAUGUGCGCAGUGGGAUUCCCGUGGUCCCGUCCCCCAUCCACGGUGCAGAGCAGUGAUUAAUGGGGCUGUGUGUGGGAGCACGGGGAUGGAGGAGGGAACUCCUACUGCACCCCGCCAUGAAUCACCGGGAAGGCGAAUCGGUGCCGUUACCACGGGAACAGAGAGAGGAAGGGACUUCCCUGCCGAAAUGAUGCGGCGGAGAAAAUCGCUCCAAAAAAAAAAAAAGAAGAAGAAGGAAAAAAGAGGCGAAGCUGUGACUAAGCAGCAGAAGUUAUGUAAAGCACCGUGGGGAAGCGCAGGGGAGGGACGGCACGUCCUGCGCUGCCCACGGCCGUAGCCCACACCGCCUCCCCUGCACUGGGGGUGGUGGCAGUGGGAGAUGCUCUCACCAAAGGCAGUGGGGUUUGGGGUGGAUUAUGGGGCGUUGUGCGUCUGUGGGGCCGGAUCCCCGCGUGGAUGGGGCUGGAGAGGAGUGGUGGUGGAGAGGAUUCGGGGAGAGGGGCCGGGUGUUGGUGCUUAGCGAUGCGCGCCUGCCUUGAGUGGUGCUGGUUGGGAUUUAGGGGGGCUCGGCCAAAGUUGUCAGCGAUCAUCUGAAUUUGGGAUGCUCAUGCAAAGUCGGGGUCACUCCUCCAAAAUUAGGGAUGCUCAUCCAAAGUCGGGGUCACUCAUCCAAAAUUAGGGAUGCUCAUCCAAAUUUGGGGAAGCUCAUCCAAGAUUAGGGAUGCUCGUCUGAAUUUGGAGAAGCUCAUGCAAAGUCAGUGUUGCUUGUGCACAUUUGGGAUGUUCAUCCAGAGCUGGACCCCUAAAGUUAGGAUUGCUGGUCAGAAUUUAGGGGUGUUUGUUCAAAUUUAGGGAAAUGCGUUUUGAAUUUGGUGCUGCCAUCCGAAUUCGGGGAUGCUCA